rnacentral:rRNA from 1 species
UACGUAGGGUGCGAGCGUUAAUCGGAAUUACUGGGCGUAAAGCGUGCGCAGGCGGUUUUGUAAGCCAGAUGUGAAAUCCCCGGGCUUAACCUGGGAAUGGCAUUUGGGACUGCAAGGCUCGAGUGCGGCAGAGGAGACUGGAAUUCCUGGUGUAGCAGUGAAAUGCGUAGAUAUGCGGAGGAACACCGAUGGCGAAGGCAAUCCCCUGGGCCUGCACUGACGCUCAUGCACGAAAGCGCGGGGAGCAAACAGG